rnacentral:lncRNA from 1 species
UGAAGAUAAGGUGCAGCUACAGUGAAAGGGCCAUUUUCUAGCAAGAGAACAGCAAUAUAUUCAAAUAGAGAAGGGGGAAAUACAGUCUACUCCCCGCCAUCCCACCCUCUACUCCCCCAGCUUUUCUCUCUAGCAUUUGCUUCUGUGAUUGUUAUCUGCUGUCUAAUGAAUUUAUUCCUUCUUUUCCCUGUCAUAUUUCACACUGCUGUAAGUCCUGCUCAGCAUGCAUGAAUCUCAGGAACAGCCCCAUGCAGCACUAACCUCAACGUGGGACGAUUUAAUGAGGUACUACCCAAGGUGGUCCUCACAGAGUAUUGGGAGGCACAGAUUCCGUAUAUUUUGGCUAGCUGUACACCUUACUGAAAGCAUCACUUGACAAGAUAUAUUUCCAAUUUGUCUGAGAUUAUUACUCCAAGGACAGUACAAGUUCACACAUUUAACAGUAUUCAUAAAAUAUCUCACGUCUCUCUAUCUUGUAAGCUUCCCUUAUCUCUCGUGCUGCAGGGAUAUUUAGUUAGUUCUUUGGGGGAGGGAGUGGUUGUUUUGGGUUUAUUUAUUUAUUUGUUUUUAUUAACAUUAUUAUUGAGGAAUAGAAGUUUAAAAAGUUCUGCAAAAGUUGUUAUGUCUCCUUUUGGGAAAUGUCUUUGCUCUUUCUUUUCUCAGUUCCUUGCUCCAUGCCAGCCCAGGCAGCAAGGGCAGCUGUGGUCAAAGACCUGCCAGGAGAGGGAGGGGGAUGCAACCCUUACAGCCCUGCAAUGAGGUCCCCUUCUGCAGGAAACAGAGGUGUGACUCUUUUCAAUAGAGGAGUCCCAAAGGCUUUAUCCAAACCCACAUACCUAUGCACAGCCCAGCCGCCCACAGCAGGGUGAGAUCCAGAUGAACACCAGCCUUUUCCCUGAGGGGUGAAGAAAAGACAUUCUCCUCUGUCCUGAAAGAGAAAAAAAAUUUCAAGUGAGUGCCCUGCAGAAGGAGAGGCUGCAUACUGAGUUUAGCAUUACUUGUGCUGUUUGAAGAACUAACAGGUUAUUCAGCAUCCAUGAGCUCUGGCCUGACAUAUGAAUGUCUCCUCCAGCCCAGGUUUGAAAAGUGGAAUAGAGAAAGAGGGAAUCAACAAGAGGGACGAGCAAUGUUGUGAGAUGAGCCAAGCAACAUGAGCAGGAUCCAGAAGUGCUAACAGAGGAAAUCAAAGGAAGGAUUAAGUGUAACGUGGGCACAGAGAGAGCUGGCAUUAUUGAGACAGGGAUUUGUGAAGUACAUUCAGACACAAAGUGGUGAGAAGUUGGAGUCAGUUGGUACGUGACUGUUAAAUUCUUGGAACUGCUACUGUUGAAUCAAUUGUUGAAAUUGGUUAUUGUUGAAUAAUGGAAUUGUUAUUUAUUAUCUAGUUACCUGCUCAAGAGUUCCUCUUUGAAGUGUUUACAUGUUAGCACUUAUAUCUGAUCAUUGGAGAAGAGGCUUCUCCAAUGUGAAUGUGAAUGUGAAUGGCUGUGCAGAUAUACUUCCAGCACAUAAAAUACAGAGUAUGAGAAACUGUGACAUUUAGACCUAAAUAAUAUUAGUCGUCUUACUUCUCCCACAGGACCAAUCAAAUCACCUCACUUGAAAGCAAUCCACAAUUAAACACUGUAAACAUAGGAAAAAAACCAACAACAACAACAAAAAAAAAAAAGAAAAAAAAAAAGAAAAAAACAACUUACUUGCUGAAGUGUAUUGGCUGCUUCACUUCUACAAGCUUGCUGAAGAACUGCAAAAACAGGGAAUGGCAGCAUUUAUAUUUCCUACUGACAGAGCCAUGCUUUAUUACCCAAUUACCAUAUGCCAUAGGCCAUGCUCUAGAAUGUGAUCCUCUCCUAAAUCACCCUUUGCCAG